UAUAUGAUGUACGAACUUCAACACCGAAAACCACAUCAUAAGUCAGCUAUAAAAAGUGUAUAAUUAAAAGCCAUAAUUCAAAUAAGAAAACUUAUGACCUAAGUUUUGUAAAAAAAAUUAAAGAAAUAUAAAUAUAUGAUAUAUACAGCAACAAAUCACAACUGAAUCACAUGCUCCUGACUUCGGACUGUGAGGCACAUAAGGAAUGUGGAGGGGUGGAACAAAAAUUAUUUCCUUUUUGUGUUUCAAUGGGAAAUGGACUCCAAAAGAGAUAGAAAUGCUUCAAAAUCAAAAUUCAGUUAAAAGAUUUCGAGAUGAGUGAGCUCCCCCUAAACUGGUACAGUGGUGUAACAAUACAACUUUAUUUUAUUUGGACUCUGGAAAUUGGCAUACAUGUCUUAAUUGUACAAUACAAAUGAUAAUGAAUCUGCUGUGUCAUUAUAGAUCAUUACUUUUAGAUUGAUUUCUCAAUUCUUUGAUGUUCAACACAAGUUUUAGAUAGUAUUAUAGUUUGUAGGAAGAAGAUCGAUUUUAAGGUGGUACCCAAC
rnacentral:lncRNA from 1 species